rnacentral:lncRNA from 1 species
GUGGGACGUGGUGGUAGCCGUUGGGUUGGGAAAGUGAGGGAUUUUUGGCCUCGUUUCUCCUGCUUCUUUUCUCCUCCCUUUUACUUUGCCGGUAGAACACAGUUAUGGGUCGCAAGAAGAAGAAGCAGCUGAAGCCGUGGUGCUGGUAUUGUAAUAGAGAUUUUGAUGAUGAGAAGAUCCUUAUUCAGCACCAAAAAGCAAAGCAUUUUAAAUGCCAUAUAUGUCACAAGAAAUUGUAUACAGGACCUGGCUUAGCUAUUCAUUGCAUGCAGGUAAGGAUUUUUCUUCUGUAUUUAUUGUCCGCUUGUGAUUUGGAAACAACUUGAAAGAAUAAUCUUUUUUAUUUUUUUGAGUUUCGGUCUUGUCGCCCAAGCUGGAGUGCAGUGGUGCAAUCUCGGCCCACUGCAACCUCUGCCUCUCGGGUUCAAGCUAUUCUUCUGCCUCAGCCUCCGGAGUAGUUGGGACUACAGGCAGCCGCCACCAUGCCCGGCUAAUUUUUUGUAUUUUUAGUAGAGACUGGGGUUUCACCAUGUUGGCCAGGCUGGUCUCGAACUCCUGACCUCAGGUGAUCCACCCACCUGGGCCUCCCAGAGUGCUGGGAUUACAGGCGUGAGCCACCGCGCCUGGCCGAAAGAAUAAUCAUUUAUUUCUCUGACAACUGUAGUUUUGUUUUUUUUUUGUUCACUUACUUACUGCAAAAGAUAAGAUAGCCAAUCAGCAUU